UGCAACAUGUCUAAGUCGGCAUUGCUGUUUAUGCAGGUGAUUUCGUGGAUUGCGGGAGCGACAACUACGAGCGGCACAUUCUGGCUAUCUUUCCACGAGUCUCAUCAGAUAACUGUGAGCAACAAGUGGGUGGAACAACCUUCAUCGGUGUCAACUGGUGGCGAAAAUUGGCUGCCUUUCGACGGAACUUAUCAGGGCUCUGAAAGCAGCACCUGGACGUCUCGUCUAUCAUCAGUGACGUCAUCAACCCCUCGGCUAGAAAAGGAGUGCCAACCAAGGAACUCUCAAAGGGCACGGCACAUGGCCUGCAGGCAACAUGUCUAAGUCAGCAUUGCUGUUUAUGCAGGUGCGAGAGGAGAAGGGAAGCUAGACGACGGCCAUGAUCCCAUGGGCCCUGGCAGCGUCUUUGGCCUGCCGUAUUAAGCGGGCUUGUAAUUGAGAGUCAGAGCGGAGGAGCGCGGUAUCCCAUCCACUCCAGUCUGGAAAUUCGCCUCUCAUGGGUGCCUGUGGGCAUGCCCAUAAAAUGUGGCUUAAGUCUGCCCUGUUGUUGACGAAAACGCGAGGCCAAGGACUGCUGAGAUGUUGGAGCAAAUCUUAGAAAAACAAGUAGCAUUCGAAACCAAGAUAGAUGCCAUGAGGAAAGAAAUAUCCAAUUGAAAUAUUAAAACUGAAAAGUUCACGGACUAUUUUAUUGUUAUUGAAGAAAUGAGCGAGUGAAUUAGCAGGCUGGAAGCAAUAGUUAGGCAACAAGAACAGAAGUUAUUUGAUUAUGAAAACAGGAGUAGACGUAAUGAUCUACUCGUUUUAGGCCUACCGGAAGAUUCUAGUGAAACCAAGUCAGACCUGACGGAAACUUGCCAGAAACAACUUGGUGCAAGAGUUGCCAGAAACAACUUGGUGCAAGGUGAAUUACGCUAAUUAUACGCAUAUUCUUGGAGCCGUCUACAGACCACCCGGAAGUCCACCCGAGUCUUUAGAAAAAUAAAUAUGUUUUUGUGUGAUCAUGUAAAUGAAAACACAGGGCU